ensembl:lncRNA
AUCUCAGUUGUUCUCCUGACAGCUGCCAGAGAAUUCAACAUUAAUGAAUAAAUGGUACGGAAGUGGAGGAAGCCAGAAGAAUGAGUUAAAUUUUGACUUAUCUGACUGUUUUGUUUCGCUUAAUGCGCCUUAUAAUCCGGUGCACCUUAUGGUGCAAAAAAUACGGUAAUGUAGAUUUGAUUUAUUAAUAUUUUCAGUAAAGACAACUUUUUAAAUUUGUCACAGGACACUGAAUGCUUGACCUUGAUAAGUAGAUGCAAAUGCCCCACUCACUAACAGGACAGAUGGACGUGUUUGCAGUCCAAUCAUCUGAUAAUGGCUUACAGUGAACAGACACCAGCAACCACAGUUCGUCAGCACUAAUGUUGCACGUCUGUGAAGAACAACAGCACCACCGUUAUAGAACAACAGAACGUGUC